rnacentral:rRNA from 1 species
GUGAACCUGCGGAGGGAUCAUUACUGAGUGAGGGCUCACGCCCGACCUUCAACCCUUUGUGAACCAAACUUGUUGCUUCGGGGGCGACCCUGCCGACGACUCCGUCGCCGGGCGCCCCCGGAGGUCUUCUAAACACUGCAUCUUUGCGUCGGAGUUUAAAACAAAUUAAACAAAACUUUCAACAACGGAUCUCUUGGUUCUGGCAUCAAUGAAGAACGCAGCGAAAUGCGAUAAGUAAUGUGAAUUGCAGAAUUCAGUGAAUCAUCGAAUCUUUGAACGCACAUUGCGCCCUUUGGUAUUCCGAAGGGCAUGCCUGUUCGAGCGUCAUUUCACCACUCAAGCCUGGCUUGGUAUUGGGCGUCGCGGUGUUCCGCGCGCCUUAAAGUCUUCCGGCUGAGCUGUCCGUCUCUAAGCGUUGUGGAUUUUUCAAUUCGCUUCGGAGUGCGGGUGGCCGCGGCCGUUAAAUCUUUAUUCAAAGGUUGACCUCGGAUCAGGUAGGGAUACCCGCUGAACUUAACCAUAUCAUA